rnacentral:lncRNA from 1 species
UCUGAACUAAGUGUUAUUCACUGCAAAGACAAGCUUCUCUAAUUAAGGGAAAAGAGAUUGUCACAACAAAGAAAUCAUGACCUCUGCUCCACAAAUAAGCCUGCUGAUUGAAGACUGCCCACCUCCGCUUCUUCCCUGACUCUGGCUACAUCAACUCCUAUUGUAAGAAACAAGCAUGCCCUGCUCUGUGACUACCCCUGUAGUUACAGGCAGCUGUACCCUCUGCUUUGGAAGGCAUCGUCUUUAUAAUUUCAUUCGUGUCUUUCACUAAAAAAGAUUUAUCAUCG